rnacentral:rRNA from 1 species
GAGUUCUCGUUGAAUCUCGGUGCUUGCACCGAGAUUCAACAUGGAACGAGUGGCGGACGGGUGAGUAACACGUGGGUAACCUGCCCUUAAGUGGGGGAUAACAUUUGGAAACAGAUGCUAAUACCGCAUAGAUCCAAGAACCGCAUGGUUCUUGGCUGAAAGAUGGCGUAAGCUAUCGCUUUUGGAUGGACCCGCGGCGUAUUAGCUAGUUGGUGAGGUAAUGGCUCACCAAGGCGAUGAUACGUAGCCGAACUGAGAGGUUGAUCGGCCACAUUGGGACUGAGACACGGCCCAAACUCCUACGGGAGGCAGCAGUAGGGAAUCUUCCACAAUGGACGCAAGUCUGAUGGAGCAACGCCGCGUGAGUGAAGAAGGCUUUCGGGUCGUAAAACUCUGUUGUUGGAGAAGAAUGGUCGGCAGAGUAACUGUUGUCGGCGUGACGGUAUCCAACCAGAAAGCCACGGCUAACUACGUGCCAGCAGCCGCGGUAAUACGUAGGUGGCAAGCGUUAUCCGGAUUUAUUGGGCGUAAAGCGAGCGCAGGCGGUUUUUUAAGUCUGAUGUGAAAGCCCUCGGCUUAACCGAGGAAGCGCAUCGGAAACUGGGAAACUUGAGUGCAGAAGAGGACAGUGGAACUCCAUGUGUAGCGGUGAAAUGCGUAGAUAUAUGGAAGAACACCAGUGGCGAAGGCGGCUGUCUGGUCUGUAACUGACGCUGAGGCUCGAAAGCAUGGGUAGCGAACAGGAUUAGAUACCCUGGUAGUCCAUGCCGUAAACGAUGAAUGCUAGGUGUUGGAGGGUUUCCGCCCUUCAGUGCCGCAGCUAACGCAUUAAGCAUUC